GAUGAACGCUGGCGGCGUGCCUAACACAUGCAAGUCGAGCGGAUGAAGGGAGCUUGCUCCUGGAUUCAGCGGCGGACGGGUGAGUAAUGCCUAGGAAUCUGCCUGGUAGUGGGGGAUAACGUCCGGAAACGGGCGCUAAUACCGCAUACGUCCUGAGGGAGAAAGUGGGGGAUCUUCGGACCUCUCGCUAUCAGAUGAGCCUAGGUCGGAUUAGCUAGUUGGUGGGGUAAAGGCCUACCAAGGCGACGAUCCGUAACUGGUCUGAGAGGAUGAUCAGUCACACUGGAACUGAGACACGGUCCAGACUCCUACGGGAGGCAGCAGUGGGGAAUAUUGGACAAUGGGCGAAAGCCUGAUCCAGCCAUGCCGCGUGUGUGAAGAAGGUCUUCGGAUUGUAAAGCACUUUAAGUUGGGAGGAAGGGCAGUAAGUUAAUACCUUGCUGUUUUGACGUUACCAACAGAAUAAGCACCGGCUAACUUCGUG
rnacentral:rRNA from 1 species